GACUUGAUGAAGGUUUCACUGAAUAUAUGGUUUUUUUUUAAUAUUGUGUGAAUUUUUAAUUAAAGUAAAAAUACUUUAAUUAAAUAAGGGGACGAUAAGACCCUAAAAACUUUAGAUGUAUUUUUAGUUGGGGUAAUUAUUGUGGAUUAGUUUUGGUGGUAAAAAACAUAAAUUGUUGUAUAAUGAGCUUAAGUAUAAAAUAAGUAAGAAUAGUUACUUUAGGGAUAACAGCACUAUUAAUUUGAUGAGUUCGUAUCUAAUAAUUAGAUUGUGACCUCGAUGUUGAAUUAGUAGGUCUUUUUAAGGUAGUUUGUAAAAAAGAGGGUUUGUUCAACCUUUAUUUUAUUACAUGAUUU
rnacentral:rRNA from 1 species